UGAUAUUACGCUUCACACCUUAACGAACUAUUUCCGCACAUGUGUCACUGACGAGUUUUCACAUGCCGAUGUGAACAAUAACAAAAAGCAGAGACAACGUCGGCGCGAUUGCAAUCGGCGCAGGACGGACGAGGGUGCGCGGCGUCGCGACGGAAGGAAAAUGUCAGCUGUGCCGCGUGCCGCCACCGCCACUGCAAGGUUGCCGCCGCGGAGUGUGGCGGGGAAUAGCGGCGCAGCGAGAUCGAUGGCACAUGCGCUGAUUUUGCGCGCAAUCAAUAAUGAAACUAAUCAGCGAGUGAUAUGAAAGCGAGCUUUGUCCUUGUCAAAAAUGGCGACAAUUAACAGUUAUUUAUUUAUUUAUACGUGAAGUACAUUUUUACCUUUAAGUGCAUUGAUGUAAAACAUAACAACAGAAUAAACCAUUUUAAAAAUCUAAGAUUAUCAGUAAAUCAUAUUUAUUAUUUAUUAAUUAAUAAAAUUAAUACUUACCAGAAGUGCAAGUGGAUUACUGUAGACAGCAUAAUUACCUAAAGUUUUCACGUCGCCAUCCCAAGGAAUUGAAUAGAACGUCGCAGAUUCAAAUUCUUCACCCAAUCUCUUCAUUUCUUCACCCAGAAAUCCAAACAAACAGAUUCCAAUAAUAUAGAUAAACAUAUGAGCUAUUGAUACAAAAUUAAAUUGCUACAACAUUUAUUACAAGUUAAUUUAAAAACAGCAAGUUUAUGUUAAACAAUUACAAUUAAUUCUGAAUUAAUAAUCAAUCCAAUAAUAAUAGCAGAUGUCAAAUACUGCACCAUCAAUGGCCAUUUAAAAAUAUUCGCAACAUCACUCCAAGCACUAAAAUACAUGUUUUAUUAUAUAAUGUUUUUUAUUCAUUUGUUACUGCUACUUUUAAAAAGUCAGAUAUUUUUAUGGUUUUGAAUCACAAAAAGUUUUUUAUUUUAAACAUAAAUGGCCAAAACUGUGAGUAAAGUACUUUAGUCAUGGGCUUUAGUCACGGGGUGGUGCUUGCCACUUAAUACUUAAUACACUAUUAUUCUUUAUAAAUUUUUAUACUCACUGCAUAGCAAA